UGGUUAUUACAAUUAUUACAGGUUGUUUAGUUAUUAGCUAGCAAUCUGUGGUAGUAAUUGCACUUCUGCCAAGUACAAGGUAAUGACUAGAACAAGCAUCAAUUGUGUAAAUUAUUGAUCAAUCUUGUCUGGUCGUAGGGUUCCUAAUCGACGUUAUCAGGUAUCUUAUUCUGUCGCCUCUGCUUACUUUCACCCUAAGCGAGAAGAUUACUUCAAAAAUUAUUCCAGUAUUGUAGAGCUUCUUAUAUUUUUCUUCCUUUGGGCAUAGACAAGCAUUCACAAUGAAUACUAUUAUAUGGAGUACAUGUCUGCAGUUAGCAUGGAUCAUCUGGUUAGUAGACAAAAGUUCUGGUUUCAGUGUUAAUUUCCUAAGUGUAUCAUCAUUAUCGAUGAUUGGUUACCAAAGGGCACCCCUCUUUUGUACUCACAUGAUUAUCUUAAUGCAAAGAAUUUUAUUUUUUCAAAUGAGCCACAGAGCCAAAUGAAAAUUCCAUGAACGAAUUGAGGGUGGAAAAUGUCAACCUUAUUUCUCCAGGGGAUGGAGUGGAGAUUGAGAAACAUAGCUAGAUGGGAGAAACGGGAAAACUUUGAUAAAUUGUUGUAUGGAAACAUAGCUAGAUGUACAUACAUUUACCCCAUGGACAAUUGAGAAACAUAGCUAGAUGGGAGAAACGAUGACAAGUAUAUAGUAUGGAAAAGAAAACAUAAGCCAAUAUUUUAUGGGAAUGGUGCUCUAAGCAGAGAGGUUGUUAGGGCUAUGGGAGGGCGACGACCCUCUCUUGAACUGAUGAUGAGGGAGAGCAAGGCUGAUUGUGCAUUCAACGAUGAUGGUGAGACAACUAGCAAGGUUGAGUCGGCGGUGGAGAUCAAUGAUGAUGGUGAAUGAGACCAAGUGCAAAUGGUUAUAUGUUUGAAUCAUCAACUAGCAUGUCAAGAAUGUGAGAAGUCAGUGGGAACAAAAAACUAUCAUUUGUGAUAGUUGUUGGAUUGAAUAGCCAUUUCAUUAUGGGUAUGCUUCCGAUUUACACUAUUUUUUAUUAAUCCUUUUCUCUUUCAUGAAAAUUUGCAAAUCAGUAACGCACAAUGUGCUUCUUAUAUUACUUUAUUUUCUCAUGUAGGUAAAUGCUCCUUCGCCAAGUAUAAGUAUACAAUUUGAAUCUUUUAGUCACGAUUUGUAUGAUGCCUUAUACACAUUUAUGUUGUAUACAGUUGUAGCUGAAUUUUCAGAUGAUAUACUGAACUAUAUGCUAGGGCAAGGAAGCUAGGGGCGAAAAAAGGGAAGUUACUGUACUAGAGGACCAUAGGAAUGUGAUAUUUGACGGAACACUGAAAAAUCUGAGCCAUGCAGCUUUGGUGCAGUGGCCAGAAGACAUAAUGGUUAGAAAUCAGUUCGCACAUCUAAAGGUGAGGAAAUCUCACAUUUAUCAAUUUAUGGAAGGGGGCAGAUAUUUGCAUUCAAAUGUUUUUUCUCAGUAUAGGAAUAAUAAGGGUGAUGUAGCAUUGUAGUUUCAAAUGAAGUAAUGUUAUACUCCCUCUGUAAAGAAAUAUAAGACUGUUUAGAUUAUUGCCUAUUAUUUGAUCUGUCAUUUUCUGUGAAAUAGUACUUCAUUAUGAUUCGCUACAUAUUGAAUUUUCUUGGUGUUAAUAUUAUGUUUGUAAAGAAGUGUGAUCACUAUAUGGUCUACUGAUUUGAACUAUAAUCAGUUUUACCUUACCAGAUUUAGGUUUUGACAGCUGGAAAGUUGCCACAUGAGUUCAAAUGGUAGAGCAAAAUCAAUGAGAAGCCGUGUUGAAUGCUAUUUUGACUAGCCGCAAAAAGAAAAGGAAAGGACAACUUAUUGUAAACCUGCAGAUACAAUAUCUGGAAAAUUAGGAUUAACUCUCCACCAGUAUUAUUUAUCCAUUUGGUUAGUCAUUAUCAUGCGAUCGGUAUAGAGCCACCAGAUAUGUUUUUCAAGGUUUGUUCUUUUAUAGCUGUAUCUUCUUGCACACAACCACUUUUUUAAAGGGCUUAGCUUAAGCUGAUUGGUUUCUUGUAUGAACAUUAGGAUUUUACAACAUUAGAUUCAAUUCUAUGACGGAGCUUUUGCCCAUAGAAGAUGCUUAAGCAGUAGGUUUUGUACAUGUUUUCAUCCUAUCAUGUAAUUGUAUAUAAUAUUCAAUUCUACUAUGAAUACUGGGUACUACAAUUUGUAUUUACGUAUUUUUGUAUUGAGACUUGCACUCAAAGAUUAUUGCCUUAAGUGCAUCUUUCAUUUAUUAUGAAUAAGAAGUUUAAUACCGAAAAAGGCUUUCGCCCCGCUUUAUAAAUAAAGCAAACCGCCAAGAGCACAUACAAGGACUAGUUCAGAACACACACACCCAAGUCUCACAAUAAUAAAUCCAGAGGUACUGCUGAGGGCACAGCUUAACAAGCCCAAAACACACGAAAUAAGAGACAAGGCUCAGCCGGGGCCAAGGCCGGAGAGCAACAGACGACUAAUCAGGCUCUGGUGGAGGCGGCGGUGGGGGCGGCGACAGGCGGACGGCCAUCAAGCGGAGGUCGGCGAUGAAGGCGGAGAUGUCGUCCCGGUCCCAAGGACGGCUAAGCGGCCGCC